CCUACGGGAGGCAGCAGUGGGGAAUCUUGGACAAUGGGCGCAAGCCUGAUCCAGCCAUGCCGCGUGAGCGAAGAAGGCCCUAGGGUCGUAAAACUCUUUCAACUGUGAAGAUAAUGACGGUAGCAGUAGAAGAAACCCCGGCUAACUCCGUGCCAGCAGCCGCGGUAAUACGGAGGGGGUUAGCGUUGUUCGGAAUUACUGGGCGUAAAGCGCACGUAGGCGGGCCAGUAAGUCAGGGGUGAAAUCCCGGGGCUCAACCCCGGAACUGCCCUUGAUACUGCUGGUCUUGAGUUCGAGAGAGGUGAGUGGAAUUCCGAGUGUAGAGGUGAAAUUCGUAGAUAUCGGGAGGAACACCAGUGGCGAAGGCGGCUUCCUGGACCAACACUGACGCUGAGGCGCGAAAGCGUGGGGAGCAAACAGGAUUAGAUACCCUGGUAGUCCACGCCCUAAACGAUGAGAACUAGCCGUUGGGGGUAAUUGAAACCUUUAGUGGCGCAGCUAACGCGAUAAGUUCUCCGCCUGGGGAGUACGGCCGCAAGGUUAAAACUCAAAGGAAUUGACGG
rnacentral:rRNA from 1 species